rnacentral:ribozyme from 1 species
UGUCCAAUAACUCCUAUUCCUACCUCACCGUGGUGCCGCCUGGGAUACGAGUAACCGUAUGAAAGAUCGGGUAACCAACCCCGGUGGGACCUUGGUCGUAUGCUGACAGGAAAAGG